AUCUAAUGCUAUAUAAACAUACAUGCUGUUAUCAUUCAAAUGCUAAGCUCUACACUCAAUAGACAUAGUAAGAUCUAAAUGCAUGUCUAUCAUAUCAAUCACAUUAAUACAUGCCUACACUUUGAUUUAUAUGCUUCUAUAAAAUCUGAUAAAUGCUUGGUUUAUAAAAUCUCCUAUGAAAUAUUCAACUAUCAUCGGAAACAAUCAGUUAUAUACUAUGUGAUUGUAUUUUUAUUAUUCAACUCG
rnacentral:lncRNA from 1 species